GACGUAGGGCGCGAGCGUUGUCCGGAUUCAUUGGGCGUAAAGAGCGUGUAGGCGGCCAGGUAGGUCGGUUGUGAAAACUGGAGGCUCAACCUUCAGAGGUCGACCGAAACCAUCUGGCUAGAGUCCGGGAGAGGAGAGUGGAAUUCCUGGUGUAGCGGUGAAAUGCGCAGAUAUCGGGAAGAACACCAGUGGCGAAGGCGGCUCUCUGGGACGGUACUGACGCUGAGACGCGAAAGCGUGGGGAGCGAACAGG
rnacentral:rRNA from 1 species